CGCAUAUUGCGCCCCUUGGUAACCCGAAGGGCAUGCCUGUUCGAGCGUCAUUGUCACCCCUCAAGCUCCGGCUUGGUGUUGGAUCGGGUAUGAAGAUACCCAUCUCAAAGAUAAUGAUGCCGCCCCAGAGGGACACGGUACGAGGAGCUUUUAACCGAGCAUGUAUCGAAGACGACUCUGUGGACGGUGGUCUAUACCUAUAACUUCUUAAGUGUUGACCUCGGAUCAGGUAGGAAUACCCGCUGAACUUAA
rnacentral:misc_RNA from 1 species